rnacentral:rRNA from 1 species
GAUGAACGCUGGCGGCGUGCCUAAUACAUGCAAGUCGAGCGAACAGACGAGGAGCUUGCUCCUCUGACGUUAGCGGCGGACGGGUGAGUAACACGUGGAUAACCUACCUAUAAGACUGGGAUAACUUCGGGAAACCGGAGCUAAUACCGGAUAAUAUAUUGAACCGCAUGGUUCAAUAGUGAAAGACGGUUUUGCUGUCACUUAUAGAUGGAUCCGCGCCGCAUUAGCUAGUUGGUAAGGUAACGGCUUACCAAGGCAACGAUGCGUAGCCGACCUGAGAGGGUGAUCGGCCACACUGGAACUGAGACACGGUCCAGACUCCUACGGGAGGCAGCAGUAGGGAAUCUUCCGCAAUGGGCGAAAGCCUGACGGUGCAACGCCGCGUGAGUGAUGAAGGUCUUCGGAUCGUAAAACUCUGUUAUUAGGGAAGAACAAAUGUGUAAGUAACUAUGCACGUCUUGACGGUACCUAAUCAGAAAGCCACGGCUAACUACGU